GGACGAACGCUGGCGGCGUGCUUAACACAUGCAAGUCGAGCGGAGAAUAUAGCAAUAUAUUCUUAGCGGCGGACGGGUGAGUAACGCGUGGGCAAUCUGCCUCAUACAGGGGGAUAACACUGGGAAACUAGUGCUAAUACCGCAUAAAAUAGUGAAGUGGCAUCACUUUACUAUCAAAGGAGCAAUCCGGUGUGAGAUGAGCCCGCGUCCGAUUAGCUAGUUGGAGGGUAACGGCCCACCAAGGCGACGAUCGGUAGCCGAACUGAGAGGUUGAUCGGCCACAUUGGGACUGAGACACGGCCCAGACUCCUACGGGAGGCAGCAGUGGGGAAUAUUGCGCAAAGUGGGGGAAACCCUGACGCAGCAACGCCGCGUGAAGGAUGAAGGUUUUCGGAUUGUAAACUUCUUUGAUUGGGGACGAUAAUGACGGUACCCAAAAACAAGCCACGGCUAACUACGUGCCAGCCGCUGC
rnacentral:rRNA from 1 species